AGCGCAGGCGGGAGAACAAGUUGGAAGUGAAAUCCAUGGGCCCAACCCAUGAACUGCUUUCAAAACUGUUUUUCUUGAGUAGUGCAGAGGUAGGCGGAAUUCCCGGUGUAGCGGUGGAAUGCGUAGAUAUCGGGAGGAACACCAGUGGCGAAGGCGGCCUACUGGGCACCAACUGACGCUGAGGCUCGAAAGUGUGGGUAGCAAACA
rnacentral:rRNA from 1 species